GACGAACGCUGGCGGCGUGCUUAACACAUGCAAGUCGAACGAAGUGGCGAACGGGUGAGUAACGCGUAAUCAACCUGCCCUUCAGAGGGGGACAACAGUUGGAAACGACUGCUAAUACCGCAUACUGAAGGAGGGGAUUGCGUCUGAUUAGCUAGGUGGAGGGGUAACGGCCCACCAAGGCGAGGAUCAGUAGCCGGUCUGGGAGGGUGGACGGCCACAUUGGGACUGGGACACGGGCCAGACUCCUACGGGGAGCAGGAGGGGGGGAUCUUCCGGCAUGGACGGAAGUCUGACGGAGCAAAGCCGCGUGAGGGAUGACAGCCUUCGGGUUGUAAAGCUCUGUUAAUCGGGACGCGGUACCGGAAUAGAAAGCCACGGCUAACUACGUGCCAGCAGCCGCGGUAAUAC
rnacentral:rRNA from 1 species